GGGCACAACGCUGAACUCUCUGUUGAGAACCUAAUCUAAGAAUUCAAAGGUCCCAAGGGAAGUUCCUGUCUAACCUCAUCACUACCAGCUCAUUGUGAGAAGCCACAACACCUCCUGUUCAUCUGGCUCUCCAGCCGAGUGAGCCGCUGUUUCAGCUUCAUCUGGGAGGCACUGUACUCAGCCAGGAGUCGGGCAAACCUCGUCUGCAGGAUGUCCAGGGACGACUCCAGGUACUCCACCUUCUCCUCAACGUCCCUGGUAUCUACCCUGGCCGCGACUAGGUCCUCAUCAAUUAGGUUGUCCUUCAUCAGAAUCUGACGGCCCUUUUCCUCCAGAGCCCUCUUAGCGUCUGGGUACUCGGUGAGGGCUUCCAUUAGGUCAUCCUUGGAGAGGCAGAACAGGUCUGAGUAGCCGAUACUCCUGAUGUUGGCCGUCCUGCGGUUCCCAGACUUGCUCCCCUUAAUGUUUAAGAUGCUAAUCUCCCCAAAGUAACUGCCGUCACUGAGGACCACAAACUGGGUGACCCCGUCAUCAGCCACCACAGCCAGCUUGCCCUCCUUGAUGAUGUACAUCUCUCUUCCAAUGUCCCCCUUUUUGCAUAUGUAGUCCCCGGGGCUGAACACAGUGGGGCGGAGCUUCAGCACCAGCUCCACCAGCAGCCCCGCCUCGCAGUCCUGGAAGAUUCGGACCUUCUUCAGCGUGUCCAGGUGCACGUUGAUGGCGAUCUCAGCCUUCAGCUUGUCCGGGAGGUUUUUGAGCACUUCCUUUUCAUCCACCGUCUUCCUGUUGGCCCACAGAUAGUCAAACCACCGGAUAACCCGAGUCUCCAAGUCCUUGGUUACCUUCCGGAACUGCAUGUACUGCUUGACGGAGUCGAUCUUAGCCUGGAACUCUACCCGGGGAGCGUUCAUGUUGGAAAUCAUGGAGCCUACGUUGCCCACUAUGGUGGCAAAGAUCAGGAUACCCACCAGGAAGUCGAUGACCACAAAGAGAUACUCUUCAUCUUUCACGGGGGGUGGGGUCUCACCAAUGGUGGUCAGGGUCAGGGUGGACCAGUAGAGACUGUAAAUGUACUUCCGGGAGAGUCGUGCAUACUCCGGCUUGGAGGUGUUUGGAUAGACCCAGGAGUCUGUCCCAAAACCAAUGAACUUGGAAAUGGCAAAGUAGAUGCAGGCAUUCCAGUGGAUGAUGAUGAGUGUGUAAAGGACCAAGUUCCCUAUCCUGAACACGUUGGGGUAGUUGGUCCUUGUCUCUGUGCGGUCAAAGAAUUCAAAGAGCCGAGAGAACUUCAGGAGGCGGUUGAACCUCAGUUCUGGGUAGUUCACGCCCAACUUUAAAUAAGCCAGGUCUGUGGGGAUGAGAGACAGGAUGUCCAGCUUGAAGUGCAAGGUCUUUGUGUAAUGUUUCCACAGCCUCUUGGUAUCUCUGACCAUUAGGCCUUGCUCAAGGAAACCUAAGGACGGAGAAGGGGACAGUCACUUGGGCACCAAAGAGGCUUAAACUGC
rnacentral:lncRNA from 1 species